rnacentral:rRNA from 1 species
UACGUAGGGUGCGAGCGUUAAUCGGAAUUACUGGGCGUAAAGCGUGCGCAGGCGGUUUUGUAAGGCUGGCGUGAAAUCCCCGGGCUCAACCUGGGAAUGGCGAUGGUGACUGCAAGGCUAGAGUUUGGCAGAGGGGGGUAGAAUUCCACGUGUAGCAGUGAAAUGCGUAGAUAUGUGGAGGAACACCGAUGGCGAAGGCAGCCCCCUGGGUCAAAACUGACGCUCAUGCACGAAAGCGUGGGGAGCAAACAGG